AAGCCAGACGGAUUGAAAACAAAUGGAGCCAUGAUCCAUGACACAACCAGGAACCAACUAAAGAUGGUCAUGGCUAUGUAAACGAAAGUGUCCUUAGCUAUAGCACUGUGUGAAGCAUAAACUGUGAGUAUCAGCCCAAGCUCAAUCGCCUUCACAAAAUGACUACGAGCGUAGAGUCUAUAAUUCUCUGCAAAACCCUUGUGCUGCACAACAAAACCACGACCAGUAGCCCGAUAUUU
rnacentral:misc_RNA from 1 species